UGUUCGCCCUCAUCCUCCCUCCUCCCGAUUUUCUCACUCAAGCCUGCUUUUCUCCUGAGUUCUCACGAUUUUUCUUGAGCCCUUUCCUCCUUCCUCUCCAACUACCCCUCCCCCACCCCUCAAUAAUGAGAAGGAUCGCGAAAAGAAAAAAACUACUUUAUAGCUUUUGGGUCUUUUCGCAAGUUUAUUAAGUUUUCGCCUGCCCCGCCCCAGUCCCUCCCACCCCCUUUCGGUUCCAGAGUCCUGCUUGAGCGCUGCCCUGAACCGCCGCGAAGGAGGGGACGGCGGCGCUCGCUCAAGGUCACGGUUGGUUGUGCAGAGUCAGGAAACGCUCCGCCGUCUAGCUGCCAGUCCUCGGGCCCGGCUCUGUUCUGAACAAACUGUUUUGGUCAGCCUAUAAAAUCCCUGGAAAUGGACUCUUCCAGCAAAGCAUCAUGAAAUGGGAAAGCACCAAAUGUUCUACUCAAGAAAUGGAGUUAAGGGACAAACAAGCUUGACCUAAGGCAGAGAUGAGAAAGGAGGAAACGUUGCAGGAGGAAGUUCAAGAGGAGGAAGGUAUUGAGCAGGCAAUUCACAAGUGAGGCCCAGGGCCCAAAACUUGGAAGGGUAAUACAGCAAGAUCCACAAGGAGAGAAUCAAUUACAGUGUGAAGUCCUGCAUCAUUUCUCCCCCAUCCAUAAACUAAUGGUCACUGAGACAAUAGGAACCUGAAGAGGGUCUGAAUUAUGUGAGUUAGCCCUAGAGUCUUGUGAAGACUUACCUUCCUCAAGAUGGAACGUGGAGGGGCCAUGAAAGAAAGGAACUGCCCCACUACCUCCAGGAUCUCCUCACGUCAGUGUACUUUGUACCCACCUUCGACACGUCAAUCUUCCUACAAUAGAAGUCGAUUUGAAGAAGAUUGGAAUUGGAAUCAGAGUCUAGGUCUGAUUUAAACCUUAUUCUACUCACAAACAAAAAGAACACCUCUAUCAUAGAAUUGUGGCAGGGAGCAAAUGAGAUCA